rnacentral:rRNA from 1 species
AUUGAACGCUGGCGGCAUGCCUUACACAUGCAAGUCGAACGGCAGCACGGGGGCAACCCUGGUGGCGAGUGGCGAACGGGUGAGUAACAUAUCGGAACAUACCCUAGAGUGGGGGAUAACGUAGCGAAAGUUACGCUAAUACCGCAUACGAUCUAAGGAUGAAAGUGGGGGAUCUUCGGACCUCAUGCUCAUGGAGUGGCCGAUAUCUGAUUAGCUAGUUGGUGAGGUAAAGGCUCACCAAGGCGACGAUCAGUAGCUGGUUUGAGAGAACGACCAGCCACACUGGAACUGAGACACGGUCCAGACUCCUACGGAGCAGCAGUGGGGAAUUUUGGACAAUGGGGGCAACCCUGAUCCAGCAAUGCCGCGUGAGUGAAGAAGGCC